rnacentral:lncRNA from 1 species
AUAAAUAUUCAAAUAUAGCAUAUAGUAUCCACUUUCUUCAAGUGCCAAAAUGGGAAGAGUCACAAUAGCAAUUUUUGCCCUUUUUAUUAUUUUAUCAUCACUUUUCUUCAACCCAAUUAGUAGCUCAAGGGAUAUUACUAUUGAUAAGCCAACUACAUACAAAACCCUUUUAUCCCAACAGAAGAUUAGUAAGAGUGAUUAUUGUAGUGUUUGUGUCCCUCAAUGUGGUUCUUGUACUUGUUGCAUUGCAAUUAACUUGAAGCAUUAAUAUUACUUUAUGGUGUAAUAUUAUAAUUAUUGUAGCCAAAUAAAUAUGGCUUCAUGAAUAAAAUUCUUUCUUAUUCAGUCAAAAAUCCUUCGAAAACGGUCUCAUCUCUGUCUUUUAAUACUACUUAUGUUGUAAUAUUUUAAUAAUUGUAGCCAAAUAUGUAUGGCUUCAUGAA